UUUACUUCCCAAACUAUUUGUUUGAUUUUUUUUUGUAGAAGCUGGAAUUUGUGCAGCUGUUUGUAAUUUGUUAUGAUAAGAAUCAUCUAGUAAAUAUGUUAGCUCAACCUCAAAAGAGUAACCACCCCUCUGCUUAAAAGAAAUGGUACUUCCUGCUUUCAUAAACAGUCAUGUGCAUAGUUUAGCAAGGCCUGAUGCCUCUGGAGCUUUUUCGUUUUGAGCACCAUUGAAUCAGUCCUUACAGAAGUACUGUGAAUCUUGUGGCCUCAUUCUGAACAAAAGGGAUUAGGAAAAAAUCAUUUGAUAAUAAGACUUUGGAAAGCAAGGGCAGGCAAUCUUGGUUGUGAAUAUUUUCUGAUUUUUCCAGAAAUCAAGCAGAAGAUUGAGCUGCUGAUGUCAGUUAACUCUGAGAAGUCGUCCUCUUCAGAAAGACACCAGAAACAAGGAGCAGUUGCCCUGGAUGCAGAUUAUCAACCCUAGCCAAGAUUGCUGUAUUCAUUUCUACCAAGAAUGCUCUUUUCUAGGGCUGUUAAAAGCUCAUCAGUCUUAAUGUUGAACUGUUUACAGUCCUUGACCACGGUAUCCAAAAUGGCCUCAUGUCCAGAAGAUGAAGUUUCAAGGCCAGAGCCUCAACAGAAAGCUCCAUCUGCACCACCACCUCCACCUCCGCCCCCACCUCCGCCCCUGCCAGAGCCAGCACCACCAGAACCAGAGGAGGAGAUUCUGGGAUCUGAUGAUGAGGAGCAAGAAGACCCUGCAGAUUAUUGCAAAGGUUUGUGUAAUUAAGCACUAUAUAAAAAGUUGAAUGUUAAAUAGUAAACAUCUAUAUAGCCCUUGACAACUUUGGUCCUCAAGAGCCACUUGAAUGGUCUUCUUUUAGAGUGAAGCUUAUGCUUUUGUGUGGUAGAGACAGAGUUUUCUUAGUGCUGGUCCUAGAUUAUGGAAUUCACUCCUGCAAGAACCAAGGGUAUGUCUACACUAGAGAGACUAUACAGGCAUUGCUAUGUCACCGUAGCUAUGUUGGCAUAACCCUGUAGUAUAGAUGCUGCCUAUAUGUUGGUGUGGGAGCACCACCUCCCUGAUUGAUGGUAGCUCUAAGUCGAUGGAAACAUUCUUCUGUUGACUUAGCUUCAUCUAUACAGGGGAUUAGUUUGGCAUAACUGUGUCGCUCAGGGAGUGCUUUUUUUCCCCACACACCUGAGCAACGUAAUUAUGUUGAUCUAAUUUUUAAGUGUAGACCAAGCCUAAGAAUGGCCACAAAAGUCACCAUUUUCUGUCUAUGCAAUGCUUAUCACUUUUAUUUAUUUUACUUUCCCCUAGGCAAAGGAAUGGAGAGAACAUUUUUGGACCAACAUUAGACACAUUAUUUUUUAACUCUGCGAGGUUUUUAAAUAGUUUGGUAACUGGGAUGAUAUAAUGAUAUAAUAACCUAUACUUAGAAUAGAAUUUAUUUCUCUGAUUCUUCCCUCUAACUUCUCUGCACCAUUGAGACUCACAUUCACUCACUGGAAAUCUUCUGAUCCUGUCCUUGUACAUUAUAUGGAAACUUUAUUCAUACCUUUCUUAUUCUGCUAUUCUGCCUGAUUUACGAUGUGCAUGGGCUAAUUAGAUCAUCAGCUAGUCCAAUUGCCCCAACUUCUGCAGGGAGUCUUGGAACCAUAUCUUGGGGCAUCACUGGGAAUCUGGUAAAGUACGAAACAUUAUUUUAGUGGAGAAUGCAGAUAAACUCAAGACAAGUGAAAGACAAGUAAAUGUUGAGCAAAAAACGUUAAUGUGAACCAGGAGC
ensembl:lncRNA